UCGCAGAAGCUGCUACUGGGGGCUCAGGCUGCUGGUCAGCUGAUGAAGUGAUAUGUGUUCUCACCAUCUGUGAGAGAACAAAGUAGAAGUUCAAUUAGCAUUGAGAAAUCAAGUCGCAUGACAGGGAAGAAGAAUAGAUGUGAAUAUUAUCCUCUCUUUAGCCUUUGGGGAUAAAUACAGGCGUCUCCAUACCGAUCCCUCAGACUCUACUAAGCUUGUCCAUGAAUUGUGAAACCUAUGUAACUACCUAUGUAACUAGAGCUCUGAUACCAACUUGUCAUGAACCGGAUUUCUCAAACUCGGAGGGUCGUGAUGGCAUCUACUAGUGAAAGCUGGGAAAGCCAAUAAUUCUAAUUACUUAACCUUUUCUAUUUUUAAUCCCUUAACAGUGGUAAAUAAAAAUUAUAUAAACAUCGGAAAUAAUAAAGCGGAAGACUUAAAUGUAACAAGUUAAUAAUAAUUUUGAUAUAGAUCCAUGACAAAACAACGCAGGACUGGUGUUACAAUCUCACAGAUUGUCUAGGACUAUGGAUAGGGGUUCAAAAGAUACACACAAAAUUAUUUCUGAAAUACAUAGAAAGAACAGAAAGGAAAUAUAGAAAGAGACGCCAAGGCAUGCGGACGCCGGCAGAACUACCUCGGGUCGCUUGAAUGGACUGAAGGCAGCAACCUCAUUGUGGUCCAAAAGCUGCAGCACCGGGAUCUGUACAUAGUGCAAAGUGCAUUGUCAGCAUAACCGGCCGCAUAUUCUGGUAAGUUCCUAGCCUAAUUUGGCAAAGUAGUGACGAGGCUAGGAACAUAUGACAAAAUAAACUGGUGCAGCUAAAUCAUAUACAAUGGAAAAAUAAAAGCAGAUACUUAUAGUUAAAGAUGGGAGGGGGAAAGCAUGCUGCGGGGAGUAUCAGAUAACAACAAAAUGAAAAAAGAGUAAUGUAAAUAAACCACAAUUCAAUUACCAACAUGAAUAAGGAAAAUCAGAAACAUGUGCAUGUCAUCACCCUUCGUGCUUUUACUCUAUUCUCACCAUAAGAAUCAAUAUUCACUUUCAUUAUCUCUUGUUGUGGCGUGUAACCCGAUCCCAAAUUAUAUAAUACCGUUGCGGCGUGCAACCCGAUUCGAUUUCAUAUAAUCCCGUUGAGGCGUGCAACCCGAUCCCAUUUCAUAUAAUACUAUUGCGGCGUGCAACCCAAUCCCGUUUCAUAUAAUACUAUUGCGGCGUGCAACCCGUUCUCAUAUACAAUUCAACAUCAAUCAUAAAAGAAUUUUGGCAAGGGAACAAGAGUAUAACAACAACAUUCCGGUAAGGGAGACUAUAUCAUUAACAAUAACAUCCCGGCAAGGGAGACAAUGUCUUAAACAACAACAUCCCGGCAAGGGAACCAACAAUGAUAAUAGUCAUAUUAAGUAUGAAUAAAUAACAAUGGAGUCACAACAAUUAUAAUACGAGACUCACGGAUAUGCUUAACAACGACAUAUAGAUACUCGUCACCAUGCCUAUGCGUUGUACUCCACAAUUAACACAUAGCAAAUAAGACACUACUCCUAAUUGACUUCUCAAGCUAAGGUUAGAGCAAACACUUACCUCGAUGCCACGAACACAAUUCAUACCUCAACCACUUCUUUACCUCUUGUUUCCACCACCAAUUUGCUUUUAUCUAGCCACGAGUUACUUAACGAUAACAAUAAAUCCUAAAUGAAUAAAUCCUAAUGCAUCAAAACAAGUUUUCCAAUGAUUUUCCCAAAAAGUCAAAAAUCGAUGCCAGGCCCACAUGGUCAACACCCGAGGUUUAAACAAAAACCUAAUUAUCCAUUCGCUCAAGAACUCAAAUAUAUAAUUUAUUUUGAAAUCGGACCUUAAAUCGAGGUCCAAAUCUCCAAAAUUCAAAAAUACUAAGUUCUACCCAAAAAUCCAAUUUUCCCAUGAAAACCCUUGAUUUUGAAAUGAAAUUAUGUAAAACGAUAGAUUUAAUUGAAAGAAAUGAGUUAGAAAUGACUUACUAUUGAUUUGAACAAUAGUUUCCAUUGAAAAAUCGUUCAAAGAUGUUUUAGGUUCGAGAGAGUUGAGAAAUUUUCGACUAAGUUAUAAAUUAGCAGCUCGUAGAUAUCGCAAUUGCGAACUCUUUCAGAACCUUUCAUUUUUGUAUUUGCGAUCAGAUAUUCGAAAUUGCGAACUUACAUUUUGAAAGGAUUGUCGCAUUUGCAAAAAAUGCUCGCACUUACGAGCAAGGCUGGCCAGGGGAUUGGUGUGGAGGAGAUGAGACUAGUGAGAUGUUAUUUUUCAUUCUAUUGGCUAGUAGUUUUUCCUUAAAAAGAAAUAGUUUCAGUGUACAUAAGUUUUAGGGAAGAGUUUAUGUCCGGUGGUUUAGAGGAAUGGCCGUUUGAUUGGUGUGUUGUGACAUAUGGAAAUUCCGAUUGGAUUUCUUGGUUUAUAGGAUUUUUAGAGAGGGGCAGAGUUUCUCGCUCUAGAUAUGCAAGUUGUUUCUGUAGAACUGAAACAAACAUUUUUAAUCUGAAAGUUUAUUUG
rnacentral:lncRNA from 1 species